AGAAAGCUUACUUUGGAACAGUGGUUUUCAACUUUGGCUGCAUACUGAAAUAACCUGGGCAGCUCUAAAAAGUACUGAUGUCUAGGUCUCACCCUCAGAGACUCUUAAUUUAAUUGCCUUGGUAUGUUGCUAGUGAAUUGAGUUUCAAAAGCUCUCCAGCUGAUAUUAAUGUGCAGCUAAGAUUGAAAACCUCUGCUCUAGAGUUUAAAAAGGCCAAUAUUGUUUUAGGAAAACAGGUGAAGAAUAUUAGUUAGAAUUCUUCAACUUCUCAGGGUCCAAAGUAUACUUGAGUGAAGAAGUGAAAACUUGUAGAGAAGAAAACAGGUUAGGACAAGAAGUUACUUAGACUUGGGCCAGCAGGUGAUAUCAUUUUUACAAGGUGAAGAUGAGAAGAAAGAAGAAUGAAAUAGUUAAAAGAAGCAUAAACUGGACCUGAAGGCAGAAUCAUAAUUCAAAGUUCAGCUGAUCUAGGAAUGCAGCCUGAAGAAAUCAGCACCUCCUAGAUACAGAAUGAACAGAAGGGCUCAGAAGAAAUAUGAGGACAAAUAGGUAUGCUAGACUGAGGCAGAAGAGGCUUGAAUAUUGACUUCAUCUUUUAAGAUAACUCCCCAGGUAAGACAUGAUUCCAAGCAAUGGAGGAAGAACUUCAUCAGAAAAUGAAGUAGUGGAUAUGUCAGCUGACAAGGGAGGGACACAUAGGUGUGAAUAAGAGGUUGGAGUUUAAAGUAUUUUGUGUCUUCUGAAGCCUUUUAUUUAUACCUGUUCUAAUUUAUAGGGUCUUACUUUUUCUUCAUCAAUACCGUAACUUCCAUAUAAAAGGAAGUGGUGAAGCUAUAACUUCCGUGGACGUAAUUCAACAAAUUACUGCUGGAUGCAGUGGCUCACCCAUUUUGGGAGGCCAAGGCAGGAGGAUCACUUGAGUCUAGGAGUUUGAUACCAGCCCAGGCAACAUAGCAAGACUCCAUCUCUAAAAAAAAAAAAAAAUUAGCUGGACAUGGUGGCAUGCACCUGUAGUCUCAGUUACUUAGGAGGCUGGGGUGAGAGGAUCACUUGAGCCUGGGUGGUUGAGUCUGCAGUGAGCCAUGAUCAUGCCACUGCACUCCAACCUGGACAACAUAGUGAGACGCUGUCUUAAAAAAAAAAGAUAAAAAACCCACACAAAUUACUUGCCCACCCCCAAAGUUUGGGCUUUUUGCCACCUCUGCCCUGAAGUUUAACAGUGAAGCAAUUCUUUAGUACAUUCACAGAAAGCCUCUGGGUAUCAGUUUGUUCUUUUAGCCCAACAUUUGAGGAUAUGAGCUUAUCAUGUCCUCUCUUAUCUACUUAAUGCCACUGAAAAAAGCACCACACCAGGUCUUCAUGUUUUCAUACUUUCUUUGUUGCAGUGUGGCCUUCUGCAUCUUGCCUUCAAUGCUGUGGCCCCUCCUUAGGACCAAUUUUUGUUUUUCAGGUUUUCUAGUCACAAGCAAUAAAACUAAACCAAAUUUAAGCUGAAAAUGAGUUGAUUGGAAGAGAAAUUAUAGAAGCAAUAGAAGUGCUGACGAAUUAAGCUUAGAAAUGGCAAGAGGUAAGGCCACUUGCAGUGGUAAACAGCCUAGAUCAUGCCUUAGAACAGCCUGAGUACUGCUUGAGGCUUCCCAGUCUCUGUUUGCUUAUUGGAGGUGACAUGGUUUUGGUCUAGGCCUCCAACAUAGAUUCCAGCCACUGAAUGUUUGUAUUACUCCUGCAGGACUGGAACUCCCUAGUACAAACAUCCAAUUGACAGAUCUUAGGUCAUGUAUCUUUGAUUUGGCUCUCUGAGGGCAAGGAGGGAGUUUCUGGGCCCUUCAGCCUAUGCAAUCAGAGCCCUCAUAACAUAUGAUGAGGGAUUUUCUCCAACCAGAAAAUUUUGGGGUACAGAGUAGGAAAACAUGAUAAUAAAAUAAUGCAACUAGAAACAUUUAAAAGGAAAAACAUUUGUAUAGAAAUGCAUAAUGGUUUGCACCUGUCUUGCAUUUGGCCUAAUGGACUCACUCCAUGCUCUAUCUUCAGAUACUUUUCUACUUAAAAUGUUAUUACUGUUGACUUAGCAAUUGUUAUGCACUGAAUGUUUGUGUCUCCCCAAAUUUAUAUGCACUGAAUGUUUAUGUCUCCCCAAAAUUCAUAUGUUGGGAUUUCAUAUGAAAUCCUAAUCCCCAAUGUGAUGGUAUUAGGAGGUAGAGAGGUAAUUUGGUCGUGGAUCUGGAGUCCUCUUGAAUAGGUUUAGUGCCCUUACAAAAGAGACCCCAGAGAGCUCUCUAGUCCUCUUCCUACCAUGUGAGGAUACAACAAGAUGAUGGCAGUCCUGCAGCCUGGAAGAGCGCCUUCACCAGAAACCGACCAUGCUGGCACCCUGAUAUGAGACAUCUGGCCUUCAGAUCUUUGGGAAAUAAAUUUCUGUUGUUUAUAAGCCACCCAGUCUAUGAUACUUUGUUAUAGCAGCUG
rnacentral:lncRNA from 10 species